rnacentral:rRNA from 1 species
UACGGAGGGCGCAAGCGUUGUUCGGAUUCACUGGGCAUAAAGAGCACGUAGGCGGUCUGCUCAGUCGGGUGUGAAAGCCCACGGCCUAACCGUGGAACUGCACCCGAUACUGGUAGUCUUGAGUUCGAGAGAGGUGAGUGGAAUUCCGAGUGUAGAGGUGAAAUUCGUAGAUAUUCGGAGGAACACCAGUGGCGAAGGCGACUCACUGGACUGAUACUGACACUGAGGUGCGAAAGCGUGGGUAGCAAACAGG